CGUGUGAUCCCAACCCCGCCGCCCGUGACGCCUUCCUCACGCUCGCCUCCUCCGUCCCUUGGCGCAUCCCCCGAUCCGCGCCUCUCUCUCUCCUCCACGCCCUAAUCCUCUCUCCUUCUCACACGCCGCCGCCGAUCUCCUUCGACAAAGCGCCGCCAGUGCUGCCUCCACCGCGGCCGAGCCGUAGCCACGCUGCCGUCCCUCCGCCUCGCCGAUCUCCCGCCCCCGCGCACCUCACAACCACCUCCAUCCCGUGGUCGCCGACUCUCCGCCACCUUCUUCGCGCCGGCCUCCCUCCGCCACCCACCUCACAGCUACGUCCACUCCGCGGCGGCGGCCUCCAUCGCCGACUCCCCUUUCUCCGCGCGCAGCGGCAGUCUGCAAUCGACGAGGCGUCUGGCUUCUGGAUCCGUUUGCCUCCGUCGGUGACGUGGCGUGUCGCCUCUCCACGGUGGUCCUCUUUGCGCCAGAUCGCACGACGCCGCACUGAUCCCAUUCCCCUCUUCAUAUGCCCUGUUGUGAAGGGACUGCUGCGAAGCUUAUCAUCCUCACUGUGGGAGAGAGAGAAAUUGAGGAAUUUUAUGGACAUAUUCAUUUGUGGCCAGCACAAAUUGAGGAACCAUGCUUAGUGCUAUUCAUUAUUUUGCUUGCUCAUGAUUUUUCAUUGAAGUAUGCAUCUGUUUUUCAUUACUAUCAUAAGGUCAUUAUCAUUACAGCUGUUAUAUUACAUGCCGACUGUACCAUGUAAUGAAUAGUGCUCCCGUAGACCCUCUGUCCUGUAAGAUGUACACUCCCCUGAAUUUGUUAGCUGUAGCAUGUGACAAUCCAAUUAUUGUGGACUGUGUAAAGAAGAAGCAUUACAAGUUUUUACUAAAUAAUUACUUUAGGAAAAAAAGAGCAACUUUUUCUGUGUUGUUUCAGUGUACUAUUGUGAACUGUGGUUUCUAGGAGCUAACUGGGAGGCUUCUGAUUUUUAAUUGUUUAGGUUUGGAUAUCAUGAAAGGUCCCAUAUUGGAGAUCACUUGUAUAUAGCAUACAGUAAACUUACCAAAUGAACUGAGGUUGAUAUGAGAAGCUCAUAAGAAAGGCACAAGCUUUGUCCUCAUUAAGGAGGGGAAAUUUUGGACCAGACAUUUGAAGUUGAUUGCUCCUUUGAAGAAUCAUGCUACAAAGCUUGGCAAUCAGGGGUUCCAGAAGACGCACUCCAAAUGGAAAAUCUGUAGGAAGCUGGAAACAACAGUGCAAGCCUGGUUUUCUGUCGAUUGUUGCUCUAUGUGAUAAAUUUGAAGUGUCGAAUCUUUUCUGAAGUGAACAGUCCAUGUUGCAGCCUUCAGUGAUCCAAACUUCUGAAUCAGUGAGUUUCAGCUCUCUUUUACUUCUGAGCAUGAUGAAGGGCUUUAACUAUAUCAUCCUCUUAUUAUUCAGAUAUAGUAAUACGAUAUGUCUAACCCUAUCUUCCUCUUUGUAUGAAGGGCAUGCAGUACAUUCGUGUGUUCUUGAAAAAGUGUGUAAAACAUAUGCAUUCUAAAUUUUCUGGGGAAAGCUCCAUAGAUUUGAUUCUGGUCAGUUUGUAAACAGCGGUAGAUCUCUGGUUUAGAACUGGAACUAUUUCCUAAUCACCAAUAAUGCUGAACACCCUGCAUCAAAGUUUUUAUUUUAUAAGGCUCAACUACUUUUUCUGUUUUAUGGGAAGACAACUGGUGAGUAAUUUUGCACUGAACAUCUGCGCUCUACUAACCUAGUUAAUUUUUUGUAAAAUUACUUCCACCUUGCUGCAAAAGUGGAGGUGAAGGCUAUUAGAACUGUGUGGCCUGCCACUAGAAGGUAUUAUAAGGUUUCCUCUCUUCAUAUUAAUUAUCUGAAUGACAAUUUUUACUUCAUAGAUCACGACAAAUGGUAUGAGAUUAGGAGCAGAAGCUGACUCUGUUGUUCCAGCAGCCCCCUGGAAAAUCUAUAGGAAGCUGGAAACAACAGUGCAAGCUUGGCUUUCUGUCGAUUGUUGCUCUACGUGGUUGUGUGAUCAGUGUAGAUAAAUUUGAAGUGUCGACUCUUUUCUGAAGUGAACAGUCCAUGUUGCAGCCUUCAGUGAUCCAAACUUCUGAAUCUAGAAUAGAAGGAUACAAAGAGAACAAGGAAGAGGAGGAACGCAUUAGAGGUUUUUGGUGCUCAAGAACUGCUCGAUGAAAUGUUUCUUGAGGGGCUCAUCCAAGUAUUUGUCUCUUCUAUCGAUUGGCAUGUAGUGAUUUAGUGCCUUCCUCUGGAUUGUGCACACAAGAACUGUUGGCCAGUGAAAGUAUUUUCAGGGAAUACGGCAAAGAAUUAUGCAUCAUUGUAUUAAGAGAAAUUAAGUUCAAGAAAGAAAAUAAAAGGUGUUGGCCUAAUUCUCGUUGGUUCAGGUGUGACCAAAUCGACUACCAAAAAAACUACAAAUAAGCUAGGGCAGAAAACCUGCAUCCAUCGGCAUCAGGCCAAAAAGAGGAGCACACAAAAACUUCAGUCCCUCCACUCCAAACUUCUCUUGGCUCAUCUCUAUCCGAAUCUUGAUAUGAAUACUUCAUUUGCCACCUUUUUUUCCAUUUGUAUUCACCAUCUCAGUUCAUGUUCUAUCCUUUUAGCCUUUUUCCUAUCAUUUGCAUUCUCCAACGCAUUUGUCAAUACUAGAACCCUUUUCAUUAUAAGAAUUCCAAAUUUAUUCAACUACAUGUUGUAAAUCCUCUCAAGAACUAGUUGAUUUCAAAGUUAAACAUAGAGGAUUUCCACUUAAUGCCCUUUAUAUCAUGUUGGAUCUGUGCUAGCGGGGUUUGUUGGAGUUCUUAGCGUUGUCAAGGCACUAGACAUGUUAUGGAUCCUCUGAUCCCGAUUUCCUCGUGACAAGUAGUAGGAGGAUUUAUAGAACUAUACAUAGUACUAUAUAUACACACGUAUUUCUCAUGUUGAGGAUUAGGAUGGUAUAUGUACACAGUCGUACUGUAAUGUGCACGUCUACAUCUGAUUGUGUUAGUACAAUGUACACAUCUACGUCUCGUGCUGAGGAUUACAUUUCAUACUAAGUUUGAUAUCUUACACUGCAAAUGAUAAUGCAUUUUUUAUAUUUAUUAGUGUAAGUUUAUUUUCAGGUGUGAUAUCUGUUAAUUCUUAUUUUGGAUGAUUCACUUUUGUCAUCAUGUUACCUAUUUUCUUUCAAGUGAUAUCUGUUAACUCAAAGUGUUGUAAUUAACCAAAAUAAUUGGUAAAUUGCUUAUCUCAUCCUAAUAUUUUAAAUGUUUGAUCGAUUUCUUCAAAUAUUGA